GGGGCUGGCGGCUGCUACACAUGCAGUCGAACGAUGAACCACUUCGGUGGGGAUUAGUGGCGAACGGGUGAGUAACACGUGGGCAAUCUGCCCUGCACUCUGGGACAAGCCCUGGAAACGGGGUCUAAUACCGGAUACUGAUCCUCGCAGGCAUCUGCGAGGUUCGAAAGCUCCGGCGGUGCAGGAUGAGCCCGCGGCCUAUCAGCUAGUUGGUGAGGUAACGGCUCACCAAGGCGACGACGGGUAGCCGGCCUGAGAGGGCGACCGGCCACACUGGGACUGAGACACGGCCCAGACUCCUACGGGAGGCAGCAGUGGGGAAUAUUGCACAAUGGGCGAAAGCCUGAUGCAGCGACGCCGCGUGAGGGAUGACGGCCUUCGGGUUGUAAACCUCUUUCAGCAGGGAAGAAGCGAAAGUGACGGUACCUGCAGAAGAAGCGCCGGCUAACUACGUGCCAGCAGCCGCGGUAAUACGUAGGGCGCAAGCGUUGUCCGGAAUUAUUGGGCGUAAAGAGCUCGUAGGCGGCUUGUCACGUCGGUUGUGAAAGCCCGGGGCUUAACCCCGGGUCUGCAGUCGAUACGGGCAGGCUAGAGUUCGGUAGGGGAGAUCGGAAUUCCUGGUGUAGCGGUGAAAUGCGCAGAUAUCAGGAGGAACACCGGUGGCGAAGGCGGAUCUCUGGGCCGAUACUGACGCUGAGGAGCGAAAGCGUGGGGAGCGAACAGGAUUAGAUACCCUGGUAGUCCACGCCGUAAACGGUGGGCACUAGGUGUGGGCAACAUUCCACGUUGUCCGUGCCGCAGCUAACGCAUUAAGUGCCCCGCCUGGGGAGUACGGCCGCAAGGCUAAAACUCAAAGGAAUUGACGGGGGCCG
rnacentral:rRNA from 1 species